UAUUUGCAGGUAGGUUAUUGGUGAUGAUCUUCAAAAUGCUAAUGGAAGAUUUUCCCUCGAUCUUACCGGAACGUUAUCUUUCUCUUUCUUUGAUUACAUAUGUGUAUGUUUAUUUCUUUUGGUUUCUUAUGAAUCCGGUUUGGUGCCUUUGUUUCGAUUUUCUCUUCAUCCAAUUUGUUUUUGUCAGGUUCCUGCCAUCCUUUAUAAUAAUUUUCGGAAAUGCUAGAGAAAGCAAUUUUCUUUUCGCAAGGUAUGUAUGCUCUUAUGGUAUGAUGUUCGGCUGAUGAGUUCUUCCUUCCGCCUCCGUCAACCCUCUCCCUCUGUCUCCUGCCUCCCGUCCAAACCAGGUAAAACACGCUUGUAUAAUGAAAGGGUGUAGUGGUGUUUUUAGGUAUCACUGUAUUUGGAUCUCAGUUGUUAUGGAAUAAUUUUUUUUUUGUGGUGCUAUGAGUAUUUUAAUUUUCUUUUCGUGUUGUUUUACUCUUCUUUUUUUACCUGUAUGUAUAUCCGUUUUAAUAUCGUUGACUAAAUUAUUUCUCAAAA